GUUGCAUAAUUGGCGCGAUUUUUUCCCAGUGGCUUUCCUUUAUCCGCGCCAUAUGUGAAAGCCGUAUAUUUUCUCGCAAAACUAUUCGUUUCUUGUAAUAAUUUAUAAGUUGUUGACGAUCAAUGUGUGUAUUCGUAUUUUCUUCGUUGAAACUGCUAGACAACGCGUGGAGCCCUCGUUAAUUAUCCAUUAAAUAAGAAUACGUCUGUUUUUAUUCGUGUAAAUAAGGAAUAUACAUAUAUACGCGCACUCGCAAACACACACGUAUAACAUACCUGUGUGCCUGCGCUCGUUGAGAAGUCAACAAGAUGCCCUCGGUAAAUUUCCAGGUACGAUGAAUUUCUGCACGGAUGCUGCAGUGUGCACACAUCAAGAGACGAACUGUAAAUAGGCAUACGCUCUGAUGAACAAAGCUCGCGAAUAUCGGAAUCGUCUAUACACACAACAACAGAUAGGUUUAUUCAGAGUUGUGAAGUAUAUAACACUAGAGUGUAGUACGCUAUUCGUAUAUUAUGUAAGAACGUAGUAAUAUUGCGACUAGCCUUGAAAGAAAUUCCAGGAUACGAUUUUGCAGGAAAAACCGUAGCAAUGUAAGUAGCAGUAUUCUCGAUGAAGAACGGAACACGAAUCCGUAUUCUACGGUUGCCAAUCAGCAAGAUGCGCUGAACGAGAACAAGAAAUAGCCGAGUGUUCUUUUCAAAAGGGAGAAACUUUCCAACGAUGACCACCGAAGUGGAAUAUGGUAAUACGAGAAGUAAGAUCGUUCCAGAUUAACAAAUGACGUUCUGGAGGUAAUAACUAUACUAAAUCUAUUUGCAUACUACUUGGGGAAAGUUACGCAGGAUAAAAUUUGCGAGUAAUCAUUUCUAAUCUACGAUCUACGCAACUAUUCGAAAAAAGUACCGAUGUUUUGCCGAGCUAUUUCACUUCUAUAUAGAUAGAAAUCUGCAUCGUCAUAGUUAUAUCAGAAAUAUAGUAGAAUCAUUUGAUAAGCAGCGUUGAUCAAAUAUGAACUUAACUAUGAGAUAGAUACUUAUAAAGAUACUUUCAUAAUGAAAAACAAAAAUUAUGAGAGUAAAAGUAAUUCAUUUCUAUCAAUGAUAAUGAUGAAACAUUUUAACGACUUAGACCGAUUUAUUAAUGAAAAGAAAUUAUAAAAAAAUUCUUACUAUAAUUUUCUUUCUAUUCUUUCAUUCAUAAAUAUUCUGGCAUGCUUCCAAUACCAUUCGUAUCCUUUUUAUGAGUCUACCACAAAUGAAUCUUCCUAGAUGUGAGUAAUUAUAAUUAAAAAACAAAGAGGGAAAAACUUGACAAUAGACAGCAAAAUGAUCGAGGAAUUUAGAAUGAACAAAGAAAAUUGGUGAAGGAAGAAUGAAAGAUUUGGGAUUUAGCGGUAGAACGGGUGCUGACUGAAACGAAAUCGUUUCUAGUAUGGAGAGUUACCCGUAGGAUAUGUAUGUAGGUACUAGUGAGAAUACGUCAACGUUCGCGAGGCCUCCUCUUUUAUUCAUGAGGACAGGCGAAAAAGCGAUCCGGAGUGGACGUUUAAAGUCAAUCGAUCCGCAUCGAUGGAUUUAAAGCAAAUCCCAGUUCUUGGUCGCCACGACAUUGGGUCAUCUGUCAUGCGAUCGUUUCACCAAACUACGUGUUCUAGCCCUAGUGACAUCGAUAUUUUCUACGUGAAUUUAUAUCUAUUGUAUGUACAUAUCAAAUUAUUUUUAUGAUUUAUAUUGAUAUAUGUAUUAUACAAAACUAUUCACACAUUGUGUUUAUAUGCAU